rnacentral:rRNA from 1 species
UCGUGAGAUGUUGGGAUAAGUCCCGCAACGAGCGCAACCCCUAUUCUUAGUUGCCAGCAUGUAAUGAUGGGGACUCUAAGAAGACUGCCUGCGCAAGCAGAGAGGAAGGAGGGGACGACGUCAAGUCAUCAUGGCCCUUACGUGUAGGGCUACACACGUGCUACAAUGGCGUAUACAGAGGGUCGCUACACAGCAAUGUGAUGCCAAUCUCAAAAAGUACGUCUCAGUUCGGAUUGGGGUCUGCAACUCGACCCCAUGAAGCUGGAAUCGCUAGUAAUCGCGCAUCAGCAAUGGCGCGGUGAAUACGUUCCCGGACCUUGUACACACCGCCCGUCAAGCGAUGGAAGUCAGGAGUACCUAAUGUCGG